UACGUAGGGUGCGAGCGUUAAUCGGAAUUACUGGGCGUAAAGAGCUCGUAGGCGGUUUGUCGCGUCUGCUGUGAAAUCCCGAGGCUCAACCUCGGGCCUGCAGUGGGUACGGGCAGACUGGAGUGCGGUAGGGGAGAAUGGAAUUCCUGGUGUAGCGGUGGAAUGCGCAGAUAUCAGGAGGAACACCGAUGGCGAAGGCAGUUCUCUGGGCCGUAACUGACGCUGAGGAGCGAAAGCGUGGGGAGCGAACAGG
rnacentral:rRNA from 1 species